GAAAUGCGAUAAGUAAUGUGAAUUGCAAAAUUCCGUGAAUCAUCAAAUCUUUGAACGCACAUUGCGCUUCCUGGCAUUCCGGGGAGCAUAUCUGUUUGAGAAUCAGUAUUAAUCUCAAAUUAAUUUAUUAAUUUGGAAUUGAGGUUUUACCUUUGUCGGUAUUCCUUUAAUAACAUUAAAUGUUUGCUACUGAACGGUUAACAAACUCAGCAUGACCAAUGAGGGUCAAACCUCCUAUGAUUGCCUAUGUUUGUUGAUACAACUUCUUUAACGAAUGUUUGAACUGAACACGAAAUUAGUUUAUACUAGUUUUAAGACAUGAUCUCAAAUCAGAUAAGACUACCCGCUGAACUUAA
rnacentral:misc_RNA from 1 species